rfam:Cathartes aura contig149018, whole genome shotgun sequence.
GGCACUGUAUGGUAUCUGCACCCAGCAGUAUGUUCCUGAUGGGGUGUUCAAAAAGCAGUGCUACCGUAUUUCAGCAGCUGGCAUUGUUGGUUUUCACACAGAUGUGCUGGUUAAACUUGGUAUUUCUGUUGAAACGAGUA